rnacentral:rRNA from 1 species
AUUGAACGCUGGCGGCAUGCCUUACACAUGCAAGUCGAACGGUAACAGGUUAAGCUGACGAGUGGCGAACGGGUGAGUAAUAUAUCGGAACGUGCCCAGUCGUGGGGGAUAACGUAGCGAAAGCUACGCUAAUACCGCAGCCGAUCUACGGAUGAAAGCGGGGGAUCGCAAGACCUCGCGCGAUUGGAGCGGCCGAUAUCAGAUUAGGUUGUUGGUGAGGUAAAAGCUCACCAAGCCUGCGAUCUGUAGCUGGUCUGUGAGGACGACCAGCCACACUGGAACUGGGACACGGUCCAGACUCGGACGGGAGGCAGCAGUGGGGAAUUUUGGACAAUGGACGCAAGUCUGAUCCAGCAAUGCCGCGUGCAGGACGAAGGCCUUCGGGUUGUAAGCUGCUUUUGUACGGAACGAAACGGUGAGCUCUAAUACAGUUUGCUAAUGACGGUACCGUAAGAAUAAGCACCGGCUAACUACGUGCCAGCCGCCGCCGCCG